rnacentral:rRNA from 1 species
UACGUAGGGUGCAAGCGUUGUCCGGAAUUAUUGGGCGUAAAGAGCUCGUAGGCGGUCUGUCGCGUCUGCUGUGAAGACUCGGGGCUUAACCCCGGGCCUGCAGUGGGUACGGGCAGACUAGAGUGCGGUAGGGGAGACUGGAAUUCCUGGUGUAGCGGUGAAAUGCGCAGAUAUCAGGAGGAACACCGGUGGCGAAGGCGGGUCUCUGGGCCGUAACUGACGCUGAGGAGCGAAAGCAUGGGGAGCGAACAGG